UACGGAGGGUGCGAGCGUUGUCCGGAAUCACUGGGCGUAAAGGGCGCGUAGGCGGCGCGGGUAGUCAACGGUGAAAGCUUGGGGCUCAACCCCGAAACUGCAUUCGAUACUGCCGUGCUUGAGGACUGGAGAGGAGACUGGAAUUUACGGUGUAGCGGUGAAAUGCGUAGAUAUCGUAAGGAAGACCAGUGGCGAAGGCGGGUCUCUGGACAGUUCCUGACGCUGAGGCACGAAGGUCAGGGGAGCAAACGGG
rnacentral:rRNA from 1 species